GACGAACGCUGGCGGCGUGCUUAACACAUGCAAGUCGAACGGAAAGGCCCUGCUUUUGUGGGGUGCUCGAGUGGCGAACGGGUGAGUAACACGUGAGUAACCUGCCCUUGACUUUGGGAUAACUUCAGGAAACUGGGGCUAAUACCGGAUAGGAGCUCCUGCUGCAUGGUGGGGGUUGGAAAGUUUCGGCGGUUGGGGAUGGACUCGCGGCUUAUCAGCUUGUUGGUGGGGUAGUGGCUUACCAGGGCUUUGACGGGUAGCCGGCCUGAGAGGGUGACCGGCCACAUGGGGACGGAGAUACGGCCCAGACUCCUACGGGAGGCAGCGGUGGGGAAUAUUGCACAAUGGGCGGAAGCCGGAUGCAGCAACGCCGCGUGCGGGAUGACGGCCUUCGGGUUGUAAACCGCUUUCGCCUGUGACGAAGCGUGAGUGACGGUAAUGGGUAAAGAAGCACCGGCUAACUACGU
rnacentral:rRNA from 1 species